UGCCUACGGGAGGCAGCAGUGAGGAAUAUUGGUCAAUGGGCGGAAGCCUGAACCAGCCAAGUCGCGUGAGGGAAGAAGGCCCUGCGGGUCGCAGACCUCUUUGGACGGGGAGCAAGGCCGCCGACGUGUCGGCGGAAGGAGAGUACCCGUAGAACAAGCAUCGGCUAACUCCGUGCCAGCAGCCGCGGUAAUACGGAGGAUCCAAGCGUUAUCCGGAUUUAUUGGGUUUAAAGGGUGCGUAGGCGGAUUGAUAAGUUAGCGGGGAAAUGUCCGAGCUUAACUCGGGAACUGCAUCUAAUACUGUU
rnacentral:rRNA from 1 species